CCCGCUGAACUUAAGCAUAUCAAUAAGCGGAGGAAAAGAAACUAACAAGGAUUCCCCUAGUAACUGCGAGUGAAGCGGGAAGAGCUCAAAUUUAAAAUCUGGCAUGCCUCUGGCUGUCCGAGUUGUAGUCUGGAGAAGUGUUUUCCGUGUUGGACCGUGUAUAAGUCUCUUGGAACAGGGCGUCAUAGAGGGUGAGAAUCCCGUCUUUGACACGGACUACCAAUGCUUUGUGAUGCGCUCUCAAAGAGUCGAGUUGUUUGGGAAUGCAGCUCGAAAUGGGUGGUAAAUUCCAUCUAAAGCUAAAUAUAGGCGAGAGACCGAUAGCGAACAAGUACCGUGAGGGAAAGAUGAAAAGCACUUUGGAAAGAGAGUUAAACAGUACGUGAAAUUGCUGAAAGGGAAACGCUUGAAGUCAGUCAUGUCUGCCAGGACUCAGCCUUGCUUCUGCUUGGUGUACUUUCUGGUCGGAUGGGCCAACAUCAAUUUUGACCGUUGGAGAAAGGCCUUGGGAAUGUGGCACCUUCGGGUGUGUUAUAGCCCUUUGUUGUAUACAACGGUUGGGAUUGAGGACUGCAGCACGCCUUUAUGGCCGGGGUUCGCCUACGUACGUGCUUAGGAUGUUGGCAUAAUGGCUUUAAGCGACCCGUCUUGAAACACGG
rnacentral:rRNA from 1 species